rnacentral:lncRNA from 1 species
GGAAGGUCAAAAUGUGCGUGCUCAGACUCAGGGGCAAAAAAAUCAUCAAGUGAAACUUUUUCUGUAAAGGACCUCAUGUUAUUUUAAAAUUCUCAUGUCACCUACAAAUGGGUGGAAGAAAACCCUUGAAAUUGCUAUCCCGUGUAUCACUUUUAAUUUAAAAAAUCUUGAAAAUAUUUAGUCAAUUCAAAGCUCCAUCUCCCUUCAGAGCUGCCUCUGGUCUCUCAGGGUUCUUCUCUUCAGGAUCUCCUUGUCUCCCACAAGGCAUCUGAGCCUAGGAGCACUUUGUGGUUGUAGCAAAAGGGGUCUCUGUUCUGAAUCCUGCCUCUUCUGGGCAUCCUUUGUUGUCCCUUGAGGUGUGGCUGGUGCCUUCUGCAUGGUUUGAGCCUUGUGCUGGGGCUCAGUGCUGACUGUGCCCACACAAUGCCCUUUGUGAGGUUUCUGCUCUCUGUGGCCUUCUUGUCCCAACCUCAGGCCUCCACAUGUGACUUCUGCACCUCAUCUCUGGGAUGGUUUCAGUGGGUCCUAGAUUGCUUUCUGUGCUCCCUGGGACAGUUGGUGGCACUCUGUGAGACUACUCUGAGACCAGUCCUUUCCAUCAUGGGCUCCUGUGGAAAAUGACCCCAGCUCAGCUCAGUAGUUGAUGGGACAUCUGAUUCAGGUUGGACCCAGCCCAGACAUCUGAUUCAAACAAUAUUCUUCUCCAGGAAUUUUGUAACCAGCACUGGUAAAGGGAGGGAAGUGCUCCCCAGUGGGGAGAGCUGCAGAAUGUGAGACUUGGAAACCAAAGGCCGCCAUGUUUUCUGUCUCAUGAUGGAAUCCAAUCUUCUUUGGCGGGGAAAAUAAAUGAAGCCAACACCAGUAGGUAUAAGAGAGAUACAGAGUUGUAGCUGUGUCAAAACUCUGUUUCCCCUUGUUCUUGAAGUCCAUAUAUGUGUUUGCCCUGUCUAUGAUUCAGUUUGAUUGUAUGCCCUGCCCUUUUCUUUGAUCAUAUGGGAUGCCCCAAUGUGGUCUUUUUAGCAAAUUCCCCUCUUUUAUUGCCAACUACAUAGAGCUGUUUUAGUUCCUUGGUGUAUGUAUUCAAUUGUAUUAUUGUCACUAUUUUUCACUCCUUCCUUUGAACAAAAUAUUUAUUUAUACACUUCACCAUAUGACUUGCCUUCUUUCUGAUACGGAAUGCACAUCCCUGCUCCAUUGACUUUGAGCUUAGCCAUAUGAUUCAUGUAGGUCAAAUGUCAUGUCAGAAAUGAUGGGGUGGCAGUUUGAGCAGAAUCUUCAAGAAGCAGUAUGCAUUUCUACCACUAUUCUUGCAUUUCUCCCCUCCCUCAUAAGGACAACAUAUAUCAAGCAGGGGCCAUUGCUCCAGCCUGACUCCAGGAAUCAGCAGACAGCGCAGCCUCAUUCUCCACCUGCUCCCUGCAGUACAGCCUCAGAACCACACAGUUGCAGCCAACCAGCUCCUGACAUGGAACUUGAGCAACAAAUGCCCUUUGUUUUUGCAAGUCCCUGAGAUUUGGAAGUUGUUACACAGCAUUCUCUCAGCCAGAAGUGACUGACAUGGUAUCAUUGCAGUCUUGAUCAAUUUGCCCUAUGCAAAGUGUUUUUAUAUGCCAUGAAUUUCUGAAGAUAGAACUACUGUUAUUCCCCAUGCAGCAGCUGAGGAAACUGAGUCUUAGAAUGUAUAAACAACUUUCCCAAGGCUACUGAAAGUGAUGGGAAUCAAAUAUAUCUUUGCCUAACUCCAGAUCCCAUGCUUUUGAAGAUAUUUAUACUGCCUAAAGCUGUAACAGACUUUUCUAAUAGUCAUACAUGGCAUAUUUAGUUGCUCUCCAUGGGGAAAUAAUGACCUGACAUGGAAAAUAUUGGUGUACUUUAUUAUGAGAUUCUAAUAAGCAACCAUUAUACAUGUAUAUAAUAUAUACAUGCAACCUCUUAAGCUUAUGCCAUUCUGUAUGGAUGUUACUAGCUUGAAGAAAUUCUAAAGAGUAGGGAUAUUAAAAAUAC